rnacentral:rRNA from 1 species
AUUGAACGCUGGCGGCAGGCCUAACACAUGCAAGUCGAGCGGAGCGGCGGACGGGUGAGUAAUACCUAGGAAUCUGCUUGUUAGUGGGGGAUAACGUUCGGUAACGGACGCUAAUACCGCAUACUAUCAGAUGAGCCUAGGUCGGAUGAGCUAGUUGGUGAGGUAAUGGCUCACACAGGCGACGAUCCGUAACUGGUCUGAGAGGAUGAUCAGUCACACUGGAACUGAGACACGGUCCAGAAUCCUACGGGAGGCAGCAGUGGGGAAUAGUGGACAAUGGGCGAAAGCCUGAUGCAGCCAUGCCGCGUGUGUGAAGAAGGUCUUCGGAUUGUAAAGCACUGUAAGUUGGGAGGCGUUACCGACAGAAUAAGCACCGGCUAACUCUGUGCCAGCAGCCGCGGUAAUAC